rnacentral:rRNA from 1 species
AUUGAACGCUGGCGGCAGGCCUAACACAUGCAAGUCGAGCGGAUGAAGGGAGCUUGCUCCUGGAUUCAGCGGCGGACGGGUGAGUAAUGCCUAGGAAUCUGCCUGGUAGUGGGGGAUAACGUCCGUAAACGGGCGCUAAUACCGCAUACGUCCUGAGGGAGAAAGUGGGGGUUCUUCGGACCUCACGCUAUCAGAUGAGCCUAGGUCGGAUUAGCUAGUUGGUGGGGUAAAGGCCUACCAAGGCGACGAUCCGUAGCUGGUCUGAGAGGAUGAUCAGUCACACUGGAACUGAGACACGGUCCAGACUCCUACGGGAGGCAGCAGUAGGGAAUAUUGGACAAUGGGCGAAAGCCUGAUGCAGCAAUGCCGCGUGUGUGAAGAAGGUCUUCGGAUUGUAAAGCACUUUAAGUAGGGAGGAAGGGCAGUAAGUGAAAACAUGGAUGUUUUGACGGUACCAACAGAAUAAGCAACGGCUAACUACGUG